rnacentral:lncRNA from 1 species
GUCUGCGGGAAACAGUAGGCUAGCGGUGGGCGUGGACCGUCGAGGUGACUGGCGGCUGUCGGAUCUGCAGUUGUUUGCUGACCAGGCAGCCGUAGCAAGAAGGCGUGCUCUACUUCUGAUAUUAUCUGGAAGACUGUUCUAAAUGAAGCCACCAGUCAAACAAAGGCUCCAGACAGAUAUGAAAAAAGGAAACAAAGCCAGAAGUUUAACAUCAACAAGAA